rnacentral:tRNA from 1 species
GUCAUUAUAGUUUAACAAAAACAUUAGAAUGUGGACCUAAAAAUAGAAGUUUAACCCCUCUUAAUGACC